rnacentral:rRNA from 1 species
GUAGGUGGCAAGCGUUGUCCGGAAUUAUUGGGCGUAAAGCGCGCGCAGGCGGUUCUUUAAGUCUGAUGUGAAAGCCCACGGCUCAACCGUGGAGGGUCAUUGGAAACUGGAGAACUUGAGUACAGAAGAGGAAAGCGGAAUUCCACGUGUAGCGGUGAAAUGCGUAGAGAUGUGGAGGAACACCAGUGGCGAAGGCGGCUUUCUGGUCUGUAACUGACGCUGAGGCGCGAAAGCGCGGGGGAGCAAACAGGAUUAGAUACCCUGGUAGUCCACGCCGUAAACGAUGAGUGCUAAGUGUUAGGGGGUUUCCGCCCCUUAGUGCUGCAGCUAACGCAUUAAGCACUCCGCCUGGGAGUACGGCCGCAAGGCUG